AUUGCCUGAACAAAUCUACAGA
rnacentral:siRNA from 1 species